GACGUAGGUGGCGACCGUUAUCCGGAAUUAUUGGGCGUAAAGGGUGCGUAGCUGGCCUGAUAAGUUAGCAGUGGGAAAUCGAGGCUCAACCUCGUGGAAGCUGGUAAUACUGUCAGGCUCGAGUGCAGGAGAGGUUAACGGAACUCCAUGUGGAGCGGUAAAAUGUGUAGAUAUAUGGAAGAACACCAAUAACGGCGAAGGCAGUUAACUAUUCUGUUACUGACAUUGAGGCACGAAAGCGUGGGGAGCAAAACGG
rnacentral:rRNA from 1 species